rnacentral:rRNA from 1 species
UACGGAGGAUGCGAGCGUUAUCCGGAUUUAUUGGGUUUAAAGGGUGCGUAGGCGGAUUUUUAAGUCAGCGGUAAAAUGUCCGGGCUCAACCCGGGCCGGCCGUUGAAACUGGGGAUCUUGAGUAGGCGAGAAGUAUGCGGAAUGCGUGGUGUAGCGGUGAAAUGCGUAGAUAUCACGCAGAACUCCGAUUGCGAAGGCAGCAUACCGGCGCCCGACUGACGCUGAGGCACGAAAGCGUGGGGAUCGAACAGG